AAUAGAUACCCUGGUAGUCCACGCCGUAAACGACUGUCGACUUGGAGGUUGUUCCCGUUGAGGAGUGGGCUUCCGGGAGCUAACGCGUUAAGUCGACCGCCUGGGGAGUACGGCCGCAAGGUUAAAACUCAAAUGAAUUGACGGGGGCCCGCACAAGCGGUGGAGCAUGUGGUUUAAUUCGAUGCAACGCGAAGAACCUUACCUACUCUUGACAUCCAGAGAACUUAGCAGAGAUGCUUUGGUGCCUUCGGGAACUCUGAGACAGGUGCUGCAUGGCUGUCGUCAGCUCGUGUUGUGAAAUGUUGGGUUAAGUCCCGCAACGAGCGCAACCCUUAUCCUUUGUUGCCAGCGGUUCGGCCGGGAACUCAAAGGAGACUGCCAGUGAUAAACUGGAGGAAGGUGGGGAUGACGUCAAGUCAUCAUGGCCCUUACGAGUAGGGCUACACACGUGCUACAAUGGCGUAUACAAAGAGAAGCGACCUCGCGAGAGCAAGCGGACCUCAUAAAGUACGUCGUAGUCCGGAUUGGAGU
rnacentral:rRNA from 1 species